UCUCCGUUGGUGAACCAGCGGAGGGAUCAUUACCGAGUUAUACAACUCCCAAACCCCUGUGAACUUACCUAUAACGUUGCUUCGGCGGGAAACCGACGGCCCCGUAAGACGGGCCGCCCCCGCCAGAGGACCCCCUAACUCUUGUUAUAUCCUGUUUCUCUGAGUACAACAAGCAAAUAAAUUAAAACUUUCAACAACGGAUCUCUUGGCUCUGGCAUCGAUGAAGAACGCAGCGAAACGCGAUAAGUAAUGUGAAUUGCAGAAUUUAGUGAAUCAUCGAAUCUUUGAACGCACAUUGCGCCCGCCAGUAUUCUGGCGGGCAUGCCUGUCCGAGCGUCAUUACAACCCUCAGGCCCCCGGGCCUGGUGUUGGGGAUCGGUCGGAGCCCUCCGGGGCACACGCCGUCCCCCAAAUUCAGUGGCGGUCUCGCUGCAGCCUCCAUUGCGUAGUAGCUAACACCUCGCAACUGGAAGGCGGCGCGGCCACGCCGUAAAACCCCCCCAACUUCUGAAUGUUGACCUCGGAUCAGGUAGGAAUACCCGCUGAACUUAA
rnacentral:rRNA from 1 species